rnacentral:rRNA from 1 species
CGCGCAGGUGGAUUAGCAAGUCAGAGGUGAAAUCCUACAGCUUAACUGUAGAACUGCCUUUGAAACUUGUUAGUCUUGAGUACGGAAGAGAGAAGCGGAAUUCCAGGUGUAGCGGUGAAAUACGUAGAUAUCUGGAAGAACACCAGUUGCGAAGGCGGCUUCUUGGUCCGUCACUGACGCUGAGGCGCGAAAGCGUGGGGAGCAAACA